rnacentral:rRNA from 1 species
GUGAGGAAUAUUGGUCAAUGGGCGGGAGCCUGAACCAGCCAAGUCGCGUGAAGGAAGAAGGAUCUAUGGUUCGUAAACUUCUUUUGCAGGGGAAUAAAGUGCAGGACGUGUCCUGUUUUGUAUGUACCCUGAGAAUAAGGAUCGGCUAACUCCGUACCAGCAGCCGCGGUAAUACGGAGGAUCCGAGCGUUAUCCGGAUUUAUUGGGGUUAAAGGGUGCGUAGGUGGUUUGAUAAGUCAGCGGUGAAAGUUUGCAGCUUAACUGUAAAAAUGCAGUUGAAACUUACGGACUUGAGUGUCAAUGAAGUAGGCGGAAUGCGUGUUGUAUCGGUGAAAUGCAUAUAUAUCACGCAAAACUCUGAUUGCGAAGGCAGCUUACUAAGCUACAACUGACACUGAAGCACGAAAGCGUGGGGAUCAAACAGGAUUAGAUACCCGAGUAGUCC